CAGAGUGAACGCUGGCGGUAGGCCUAGCACAUGCAAGUCGAACGGCAGCACAGUAGGGGCUUGCUCUUACGGGUGGCGAGUGGCGGACGGGUGAGGAAUACAUCGGAAUCUACCUUUUGGUGGGGGAUAACGUAGGGAAACUUACGCUAAUACCGCAUACGCCCUUCGGGGGAAAGCCGGGGACCAGCAAUGGCCUGGCGCUGAUAGAUGAGCCGAUGUCGGAUUAGCUAGUUGGUGAGGUAAUGGCUCACCAAGGCGACGAUCCGUAGCUGGUCUGAGAGGAUGAUCAGCCACACUGGAACUGAGACACGGUCCAGACUCCUACGGGAGCAGCAGUGGGGAAUAUUGGACAAUGGGCGCAAGCCUGAUGCAGCAACGCCGCGUGAGGGACGACGGCCUCGGGUGUAAACCUCGUUUAG
rnacentral:rRNA from 1 species